rnacentral:rRNA from 1 species
UUUCCGGUUGAUCCUGCCGGACCUGACUGCUAUCGGAUUGAUACUAAGCCAUGCGAGUCAUUGUAGCAAUACAAGGCAGACGGCUCAGUAACGCGUAGUCAAUCUACCCUAUGGACGGGGAUAACCUCGGGAAACUGAGAAUAAUACCCGACAGAACAUUAUGCCUGGAAUGGUUUAUGUUUUAAAUGAUUUAUCGCCGUAGGAUGGGACUGCGGCCUAUCAGUUUGUUGGUGAGGUAAUGGCCCACCAAGACUAUUACAGGUACGGGCUCUGAGAGGAGUGGCCCGGAGAUGGGUACUGAGACACGGACCCAGGCCCUAUGGGGCGCAGCAGGCAAGAAAACUUUGCAAUGUGCGAAAGCACGACAAGGUUAAUCCGAGUGGUUUCUGCUAAAGAAACCUUUUGUUASUCCUAGAAACACUGACGAAUAAGGCGCGGGCAAGUUCUGGUGUCAGCCGCCGCGGUAAAACCAGCACCUCAAGUGGUCAGGAUGAUUAUUGGGCCUAAAGCAUCCGUAGCUUGCUUUGUAAGUUCUCGGUUAAAUCCAUACGCUUAACGUAUGGGCUGCCGGUAAUACUGCAAAGCUAGGGAGUGGGAGAGGUAGACGGUACUCGGUAGGAAGGGGUAAAAUCCUUUGAUCUAUUGAUGACCCACCUGUGGCGAAGGCGGUCUACCAGAACACGUCCGACGGUGAGGGAUGAAAGCUGGGGGAGCAAACCGGAUUAGAUACCCGGGUAGUCCCAGCUGUAAACUAUGCAAACUCAGUGAUGCAUUGGCUUGUGGCCAAUGCAGUGCUGCAGGGAAGCCGUUAAGUUUGCCGCCUGGGAAGUACGUACGCAAGUAUGAAACUUAAAGGAAUUGGCGGGAAGGGCGAAUUC